rfam:Hordeum vulgare subsp. vulgare, WGS project CAJW01000000 data, contig: morex_contig_135366
CACAUAUUACCUUCGUCCCAAAAAGCUUGUCUUAGAUUUAUCUAGAUGCAGAUGUACCUGACACUAAAACGUCUCUAGAUACAUCCGUAUCUAGACAAAUCUAAGACAGGCUGUUAGAUACAUCCGUAUCUAGACAAAUCUAAGACAAGCUUUUUGGGAUGGAAGGAGUACAUA